rnacentral:rRNA from 1 species
AUUGAACGCUGGCGGCAGGCCUAACACAUGCAAUUCGAGCGGGGUUUUCGGACCUAGCGGCGGACGGGUGAGUAAUGCGUAGGAAGCUGCCCGAUAGAGGGGGAUACCAGUUGGAAACGACUGUUAAUACCGCAUAAUGUCUACGGACCAAAGUGUGGGACCUUCGGGCCACAUGCUAUCGGAUGCGCCUACGUGGGAUU